GACGAACGCUGGCGGCGUGCCUAACACAUGCAAGUCGAACGAAGCACUUUGAUCGAUUUCUUCGGAUUGAAAUUUUAGUGACUGAGUGCGGACGGGUGAGUAACGCGUGGGUAACCUGCCUCACACAGGGGGAUAACAGUUGGAAACGGCUGCUAAUACCGCAUAAGCGCACAGCACCGCAUGGUACAGUGUGAAAAACUCCGGUGGUGUGAGAUGGACCCGCGUCUGAUUAGCUAGUUGGCAGGGUAACGGCCUACCAAGGCGACGAUCAGUAGCCGACCUGAGAGGGUGACCGGCCACAUUGGGACUGAGACACGGCCCAAACUCCUACGGGAGGCAGCAGUGGGGAAUAUUGCACAAUGGGGGAAACCCUGAUGCAGCGACGCCGCGUGAGCGAAGAAGUAUUUCGGUAUGUAAAGCUCUAUCAGCAGGGAAGAAAAAAUGACGGUACCUGACUAAGAAGCCCCGGCUAACUACGUG
rnacentral:rRNA from 1 species